rnacentral:rRNA from 1 species
UACGGGGGGGGCAAGCGUUGUUCGGAAUUAUUGGGCGUAAAGGGCUCGUAGGCGGCUAACUAAGUCAGAGGUGAAAUCCCUCGGCUUAACCGGGGAACUGCGUCUGAUACUGGAUGGCUUGAGUUCGGGAGAGGGAUGCGGAAUUCCAGGUGUAGCGGUGAAAUGCGUAGAUAUCUGGAGGAACACCGGUGGCGAAGGCGGCAUCCUGGACCGAUACUGACGCUGAGGAGCGAAAGCGAGGGGAGCAAACGGG